rnacentral:rRNA from 1 species
CCUACGGGAGGCAGCAGUGGGGAAUAUUGGGCAAUGGGCGCAAGCCUGACCCAGCAACGCCGCGUGAAGGAAGAAGGCUCUCGGGUUGUUAACUUCCUUUCUGAGGGACGAAGAAAGUGACGGUACCUCAGGAAUAAGCCUCGGCUAACUACGUGCAAGCAGUCGCGGUAAUACGUAGGUGGCAAGAGUUAUCCGGAUUGGUUGGGUGUAAGGGGCGUGUAGGCGGGAAAGCAAGUCAGAUGUGAAAACUCAGGGCUCAACCCUGAGCAUGCAUUUGAAACUGUUUUUCUUGAGUGCUGGAGAGGCAAGCGGAAUUCCGGGUGUAGCGGUGAAAUGCGUAGAUAUUAGGAAGAACACCAGUGGCGAAGGCGGCUUACUGGACUGUAACUGACGUUGAGGCUCGAAAGCGUGGGGAGCAAACAGGAUUAGAUACCCGGGUAGUC